AGCCCCAAGGUGUGUUUAACAUGUCGGACUGCAAAUCCGAAGUCGGCAGCUGCCCGGGGUUU
rnacentral:tRNA from 1 species